CCUUGGGAGAAAUUGCUAAAACCACACUCUGAGCAUGUCAGAAACAUCAGAAUAUCUCUCAGACAAGGGAAGAGGAUCAAGUGAGACCUGAGGGGGGAGUCCCUUAACAUGGUAGCCAUGGUCCUGAAGGUCCCAAGGCUGCUCCAAGGCAUUACCUGACUCACAGCUGCGUUCUGGGAACGCAACAGCGAGGCCAGCACCUUGGCGGGUCUGCACUGAGCUCCUGCACUCAGGACCAGAAUCGCAAACACCGUUACGUCCUGGCAGUUCCCCUCCUAGGUCUGUCCCCAGAGACUGGAGAAUGAUCCUCACACAGAUGUUCAGAGCAGGCUUUUGGUCCAUACAAUGGAGACUAUUCAGCCAUGGAAAGAAGUGAAGUGCUCAUGCGAACUAUACCAUGGAUGCAUCUUGAAAAUAUUAUGUUAGUGAAAGAAGGCAGGCAGAAAAGGCCAUAAAUGCAUUUCAAGGAGGGGGGGAAGUGAAUUAUGUCAUGUGAAUUAUCUCAAAAUUAUAAUUAGAAACAAAGUAACAAGAUGAGCUCACCAGGAAGCAGCGCCCCUCGUCUGCUUUCUUACCUUCCCAUCAACCCGGAACAUUUAUCCAAACACUUGCACAUCCGCAGGCUGCAGUCUGGACUUGUCCAUAGGUGAUUCAGUCUGUUGUGCCUCCCAGCCACAUCGUUCCACACCAGCGGCCAUCCGUUCGGACCCUUCGUGGGAAUGCAGCUCUGAACACUCCUUGUGAUGGUUUUGCUGUGAGUAGGUGUUUGCGAGGCUUGGCUGAGACAGACCUCAAACUCCCCGGUC